AGUGAACGCUGGCGGUAGGCCUAACACAUGCAAGUCGAACGGCAGCACAGUAAGAGCUUGCUCUUACGGGUGGCGAGUGGCGGACGGGUGAGGAAUACAUCGGAAUCUACUUUUUCGUGGGGGAUAACGUAGGGAAACUUACGCUAAUACCGCAUACGACCUACGGGUGAAAGCAGGGGAUCUUCGGACCUUGCGCGAUUGAAUGAGCCGAUGUCGGAUUAGCUAGUUGGCGGGGUAAAGGCCCACCAAGGCGACGAUCCGUAGCUGGUCUGAGAGGAUGAUCGGCCACACUGGAACUGAGACACGGUCCAGACUACUAAGGGAGGCAGCAGUGGGGAAUAUUGGACAAUGGGCGCAAGCCUGAUCCAGCCAUACCGAGUGGGUGAAGAAGGCCUUCGGGUUGUAAAGCCCUUUUGUUGGGAAAGAAAAGCAGCAGGUUAAUACCCCGCUGUUCUGACGGUACCCAAAGAAUAAGCACCGGCUAACUUCGUG
rnacentral:rRNA from 1 species